GGUUUACACUUGAUCUCUGAACUUAAGGUAAGUUUGCUUGUUGACAAGUAAAUGCACUGAUGCU